rnacentral:rRNA from 1 species
GCGACAGGCUUAACACAUGCAAGUCGAGGGGUAACAGGGUAGCAAUACCGCUGACGACCGGCGCACGGGUGAGUAACGCGUAUGCAACCUGCCUAUAACUGGGGAAUAGCUCCCUGAAAGGGGAAUUAACACCGCAUAACACUAUUGAUUCGCAUGGAUUGGUAGUUAAAUGUAGCGAUACAGGUUAUAGAUGGGCAUGCGUGACAUUAGCUAGUUGGUGAGGUAACGGCUCACCAAGGCUACGAUGUCUAGGGGUUCUGAGAGGAAGGUCCCCCACACUGGUACUGAGACACGGACCAGACUCCUACGGGAGGCAGCAGUGAGGAAUAUUGGUCAAUGGGCGCAAGCCUGAACCAGCCAUGUCGCGUGCAGGAAGACUCGCCCUAUGGGUUGUAAACUGCUUUUAUAGUAGAAGAAACACAUCUACGCGUAGAUGUCUGCCAGUAUACUAUGAAUAAGCAUCGGCUAACUCCGUGCCAGCCGCUGC